rnacentral:ncRNA from 1 species
UUUACCCUACUGAUGAGUUCGUUGUCUAAACAGUAAUCCAACCCAGUACGAGAGGAACCGUUGGUUCAGAUAAUUGGUAACUGCGGUUAGCUGAAAAGCUAGUGCCGCCAAGCUACCAUCUGUAGGAUUAUGGCUGAACGCCUCUAAGUCAGAAUCCAUGCUGGAAUAGACGAUAAUCACCUUUCCUGAUGUGACGCGAAUAGCGAUAGAUGUCUUUUAGGCAUCCAGCAUCAUAAAAUUGCAACGCACUUCGUCGCUUGUCAAAUACUUGCGGCGAAGAGUAUGCUGAAUUGUAAUUUCAAAUAUUGGGAAAGAUAAAUCCUUUGUAGACGACUUAACUACAGAACGGGGUGUUGUAAGCAUGAGAGUAGUCUUGUACUACGAUCUGCUGAGAUUUAGCCCUUGUUCUAUUGAUUUGU